AGCAUCUACUGAUAGUUUGACUGC
rnacentral:miRNA from 1 species